UGUAUUCGUCAGGACAGCUGAGCCUUAAUGUAGAACAUGGAAGAUCUGCUAUAUCCAACUACUACGAAAAUAAAAAGACUCAAGUGUUUUUUGUCAAGUAGGCAUUUUCUGCUUCAAAAUACUACUUAAGCUCAAGUUCCUGUUUCCUAUCUGAAGAGUGGCUAAAAAUAAUGUGAUGUCCAAGGCAUAUUAAGGCAAAUGUAAGCAUACUGUGCCAGCAUAAUUUACACUUAAGCUUACAACACACCCCUGUAUGUGUAUUUGUCAGUGUUUACGUAGAUAAAUGUGCAUGUAUGUACAAACAUGCACCAGUCUCUCCAAAGCCUGCUGUGAACUGUGUGUUUAAGUAAUGCACACUAAAUUGAUGCUCAGAACUGUGUGUCUUCUCAGACUGAUCAAAGAUCAGAAAGAGACUUGUUUCAAGAAAUGAAGUGCUUUGAAGUGCCCAUGCAAGCUCAAUGCGUAGCUUAUGAUAUAAACAUUCUUUUAAGGGCUAUAAGCAUAUAGGAAUGGUGUAUAACUAUGGAAUACUGUUGUUGACUUCAUAUUUAUUACUGUAGUAUUGACGUCUCACUCCACAAUUACGUGACUCAAUCUUAAUAAGAAAUGACCUUGCAUUGAAGAAAACCAUAUUUACAGGAAGUAAUAAUUUGGUUUCUUCUUUCUAUGUCAACAGAACGGAGACUGCAGUAGAAGAGAGAAAUUACUUAGGGAAGUAGAAAAUUCCUACUAACACAGUAUUUGAGAUUGACCUGUCCAUCUUUUAACAGAUCUUAUGAUCUCUCUUCAGGUAUUUUUAUUUACUGAUCAAAGUUGAUGACUCUGAGAUUUGAAAGGUGGAGCAACCUAUGGGCUCAAUGGCACAAGGCUGUGAAUUACUGGCUGGAAUAACAUAAGCUGUGUUUGCUGGAAGAUGGACUCCAAAGGUGACAUUGGUUGGAAAAUCUGCCUCUCUCAUGCUACCUGGAAUACUACCUGGAAUAUGAAUGAGACUCUAACAUUGCCUACAGCCGAUGUGAGCAGUAAAAGAAACAGGAAACAAAAAAGUCCUUUGGAGCGCAGUUCAAGGGGGUCUGACAUGCUACAAGAGAGCCACAUGACAUCUGCACAUUUUUCUGUACAUUCGCACUGGAAAGAGGAUAGAAUUACCAGGAAAUGUUGCCCUGUGAUUUCUGCAUUGAAGUGGCUGCAUCUGUGCCACCUGUUGAUGACAUGA
rnacentral:lncRNA from 1 species